AUACGUAGGGGGCGAGCGUUGUCCGGAAUGACUGGGCGUAAAGGGCGUGUAGGCGGCCGAUUAAGUCUGGAGUGAAAGUCCUGCUUUCAAGGUGGGAAUUGCUUUGGAGACUGGUUGGCUUGAGUGCGGAAGAGGUAAGUGGAAUUCCCAGUGUAGCGGUGAGAUGCGUAGAGAUUGGGAGGAACACCAGUGGCGAAGGCGACUUACUGGGCCGUAACUGACGCUGAGGCGCGAAAGCGUGGGGAGCGAACAGGAUUAGAUACCCUGGUAGUCCACGCGGUAAACGAUGAAUGCUAGGUGUAGGGGGUAUCGACCCCUCCUGUGCCGGAGUGAACACAAUAAGCAUUCCGCCUGGGGAGUACGGCCGCAAGGUUGAAACUCAAAUGAAUUGACGGGG
rnacentral:rRNA from 1 species